UGGAACUCUUGCCAAGUGCUAGUUAGAGAUU
rnacentral:piRNA from 1 species